GGAGCGAAAGCGUGGGGAGCGAACAGGAUUAGAUACCCUGGUAGUCCACGCCGUAAACGGUGGGCGCUAGUUGUGCGAACCUUCCACGGUUUGUGCGACGCAGCUAACGCAUUAAGCGCCCCGCCUGGGGAGUACGAUCGCAAGAUUAAAACUCAAAGGAAUUGACGGGGCCCCGCACAAGCAGCGGAGCAUGCGGCUUAAUUCGACGCAACGCGAAGAACCUUACCAAGGCUUGACAUAUACAGGAAUAUGGCAGAGAUGUCAUAGCCGCAAGGUCUGUAUACAGGUGGUGCAUGGUUGUCGUCAGCUCGUGUCGUGAGAUGUUGGGUUAAGUCCCGCAACGAGCGCAACCCUCGUUCUGUGUUGCCAGCAUUUAGUUGGGGACUCACAGGAGACUGCCGGGUUAACUCGGAGGAAGGUGGGGAUGACGUCAAAUCAUCAUGCCCCUUAUGUCUUGGGCUGCACGCAUGCUACAAUGGCUGGUACAAACGGCUGCGAUACCGCAAGGUGGAGCGAAUCCGAUAAAGCCAGUCUCAGUUCGGAUUGGGGUCUGCAACUCGACCCCAUGAAGUCGGAGUUGCUAGUAAUCGUAGAUCAGCAACGCUACGGUGAAUACGUUCCCGGGGCUUGUACACACCGCCCGUCACAUCACGAAA
rnacentral:rRNA from 1 species